rnacentral:rRNA from 1 species
AUUGAACGCUGGCGGCAGGCUUAACACAUGCAAGUCGAGCGGAGAUGAGGUGCUUGCACCUUAUCUUAGCGGCGGACGGGUGAGUAAUACUUAGGAAUCUGCCUAUUAGUGGGGGACAACAUCUCGAAAGGGAUGCUAAUACCGCAUACGCCCUACGGGGGAAAGCAGGGGAUCACUUGUGACCUUGCGCUAAUAGAUGAGCCUAAGUCAGAUUAGCUAGUUGGUGGGGUAAAGGCCUACCAAGGCGACGAUCUGUAACGGGUCUGAGAGGAUGAUCCGUCACACUGGGACUGAGACACGGCCCAGACUCCUACGGGAGGCAGCAGUGGGGAAUAUUGGACAAUGGGGGGAACCCUGAUCCAGCCAUGCCGCGUGUGUGAAGAAGGCCUUUUGGUUGUAAAGCACUUUAAGCGAGGAGGAGGCUACUUAGACUAAUACUCUAGGAGAGUGGACGUUACUCGCAGAAUAAGCACCGGCUAACUCUGUGCCAGCAGCCGCGGUAAUACAGAGGGUGCAAGCGUUAAUCGGAUUUACUGGGCGUAAAGGGUACGUAGGUGGUCUUUUAAGUCGGAUGUGAAAUCCCUGAGCUUAACUUAGGAAUUGCAUUCGAUACUGAGAGACUAGAGUAUGGGAGAGGAUGGU